CAGCAAGACAACACGUGGGUCGCGCAGGCAAUUGGAAUUUUUGGGGCAGAUUUCUGUAAAGAAAUACCUGUAUUUGUCCCCCCUUUGCUGAGUCGUUUGAAGCGCGAGUAGGGCUGGAAUUUCAGGAAUUAGCUGUGGUAUGACAUGAAGCCUGGAAGGCAGAGAAAAAGACGAGAGGGAAGCAGGAGGCUGGACCGACCGGUCAACACGUAAUGAGGAGAGGGGAGGGCCGGGGUCCGAAAAGGAAAAGAAAGCCAGCCUCGGGCACAUAAUCCUGCUGAAAGAGGCCAAUGCCAUCAGGGAAUACCGUUGCCAUGAAAGGGUGCACAUGGUCUGCAAUAAUGCUCAGUGCAUCCUGAUGUCAUGUGUUCUCCAGUGGUCACGGGGGUCAGCUGUUGGCAGUGGUCACUGUUGGAUCGGAC
ensembl:lncRNA